GUUUAGAUAGCUUAAGGAGAGCAUAAUAUUGAAGAUAUUAGGGUAAAUGAAUUUUUUUAAAUA
rnacentral:tRNA from 1 species